AAUGUUUCUGGAAAAUGGAAUUCAGGGCAUGAAGGGAAGAGCUAGUCCCUGGAGCUUGGGGAGGUAUGGAUGAACACCGCAUGUAUUGAUGGAAUUUGUGCUGGGCCAUUAAGUAUUUAUCAAUGGAUACACAUGUGACUUGUUUUCAAGACAUGGGGCCUCACCAGCCUUUGUUCAUAUCUUCAGAUGCAAAAUGACGAGGUGAAGUUGUACACUGAGUCCAGAGCAAGUCACAGAAUUGCAGUGAGGACUCACCAGCUCCGUCAAGUUCAGGACCAGAGAGAGUGGUCGGAUUCCCGUUGGUUGCCUUCAGCUCCCCCCCCCCCCCGCCGCCCCACCUGGGGCCUGUCAUCCUGUGGCCUCUGUGGACUCUGCGGUGGGAGUGGGGGUGGGUGGGUAGGCGGCACCCCCCUCCCCACCCCCCCCUCUGCUCACUGGGCCUCACUUGUUCCCCACCCCCGGAUCAGUUUUUCCUCUCCUUGAAAAGAUGCUCUCUUUGUUGUUAAACUUACUUUCUUCUCUCUGCGCUGAUUUAUGCUUAUUUUCUUUCUUCGCUUGCCACCGAGCGGGAACGGGGAAGGGGAACCAAAAAACAGGAAAAGGAUUUGCUUCCAUUGUGUCCACACAGUGCCCGUUUCCUUGGUGUGUCUGAAAUGCCUGGGAGUCUGAGCUCCGAAAGCGUCUUAAAUGGCCUGAUUGCAGGGACCUCAAUCCUGACGUGGUGCCUGGAGUUUGGCUUUUUCUGGAUUUGAUUUGGGAGCCUCAGUUGGGGGUGGGGACGGUGGGCUGCCUAACAACAGACAUUUUUAGCAAAUCAAGUCUGUUUCUCUGGGUGGAUUCUAUCCCUCCCUCAAUCAAGCUGCAGACCUGUUGUCUCCCAUCCUGUCACUUCCCUUUGUCUCUAGGACCUAAUCUAAGGCCCUCCCUGUGGUGCUGAAUCUGGGACAGGGCCAGCAGGAUCCUGACAGUGUUCUGGGGGUGGGGGAGAGGAGCCCAAACCCAAACCCAGAGCACCUGCCCCGCCCUCUUCACUGCUCCUGGUUCUGCCGGACGCUGGGUGCCAUGUGUCAGCAGCUCCCAACCCGGGUCCCAUGAAGCUCCGGGAGUUUUUCUUUACACAUUUCCCUUGAAAUUGACCAAAUGCAGAAACAGACACAGAAUCCAGAGGCUUUGAUGAGGCCAGACACUGAAGAGGUUUGUGCUCCUAUAAAACAAUGCCUUUCUGGGGCGUCUGGGGGGUUCAGUAGGUUCAGCCUCCAGCUUCAGGUCAUGAUCGUGUAGUUCAUGUGUUCGAGCCCCACGUCGGGCUCUGUGCUGACAGCUCCGAGCCUGGAACCUGCUUCAGAUUCUGUUUCCCUCUCUCUCUGCUCCUCCCUUGUGCAUGCUCUGUCUCUCUCUCUCUCAAAAAUAAAC
rnacentral:lncRNA from 1 species